UACGAAGGGGGCUAGCGUUGCUCGGAAUCACUGGGCGUAAAGCGCACGUAGGCGGGUCGUUAAGUCGGGGGUGAAAUCCUGGAGCUCAACUCCAGAACUGCCUUCGAUACUGGCGAUCUUGAGUCUGGGAGAGGUGAGUGGAACUCCGAGUGUAGAGGUGAAAUUCGUAGAUAUUCGGAAGAACACCGGUGGCGAAGGCGGCUCACUGGCCCGGUACUGACGCUGAGGUGCGAAAGCGUGGGGAGCAAACAGG
rnacentral:rRNA from 1 species